UGAUUGCAGAAGUGCUUAAGAGUGACUGGGAUGUUCAAUUUAGCGUGUCGGAAAUGGGAAAACAGAGUGCAAAGAGCUUUACUGGGGCAUCUCCGGUUUUUAUCACAUUUCGAAUGAAGUCUUUGACGAUCUAGACAAGCAUCCGGAAAAUUCCACACCACCUGCAGUCACCGCUGCUUUGUAACCUGCGAGCAGUGAAUGAGUUGACUUCCAUUCAAAGCCAGCCAGCGAUGGUGAAUGCUUGACUAGGUAACUCUGCCCCGGCAGCCCCCUGGGUUCUGGGCAGUGGUCUGAAAGGAGCCUGAAGCUGGAGCCGAAUAGAGAGCCAGAGCAACCAGGGGGCUAAUAGCAGUGGAUGGGAUUGUAUUCACAGUGCGGGAGGGGUGGGGGACGGGAAAAGAGAGUUGAGGGCCAGAACCAUCUGCUUUUGUGGUGGUGGGCAUCAAAGCCAGGAGGAGCACGGUGGGAGAUCUCCUUUCACCGGGGACACAAUUCAUAUGGGCCUCAUAUUUCUCCAGGACGACAUCCUGCAGACCUUUUGGGAGCUCAUCGUAUCCCCUUUUAGUCUAUUUUUUUGUUUGUUUUUUGCAGUGUGGCUACUCUGAAAGCCAAAUAGCUGUGGAAAGACCAAGAUUCCCUAUUAUAUACCCUGGGAAUUUAGAUAAUAGAUGAGUUUGUUUGACCCAGCAGACCCUAAACGGCAAACACUCCUCUCUCGCUAAUUUUAGUUUUUUUUUUUUUUUUUUUUUGCUAGUGGAAGGGAAUUAAAAAUGGGUCACUGCAUGACUCAAAAAAACAUGCUCAGAGGAUGAUUAAUUAUUAAAGUGACUAAUACUACAUUUGCCUCAGAGCGCUUGUGACUUUAAUCCGUGGCAGGGGCACAACUACCAGUACUCGACUCCCCCAUUUGUGAAUCCCUCUCUCUCUGCCAGUCUCGCCCCCUUUUUUUCGUCUAUCCCUCUAGCUAAAUUUAAUUUCAGAUUCAAUUAGCUUUACUGGCAUGACCAAGAUACAUAUUUGAACUGUUGUGUCAGUGUCAGUCCCUUCUUACUCUCGUCUCUAUCCUCCGUCCCUUCGCUUCUGUUAAGAGCUGUGUAAAGGAGAAGUCUAUAUCUACUGCUAUGUUAGCAUUACUGCAGCUAUUUUGAAAUCAUCACCGUGGCCAUUUCAACAACACUUAAGCUUUCUGCUAAUGUGGAAGUCUGUGAAAGAGCACAUGAUCUGAAAAGCAACAGAUCCUAGUUUGUACCAUUGUCUAAUAACUGGACCAUAA